AGCAUAUCAUUUUUCAGAUGUUCCACAUUUUACCAUUCCAAAUAACUAAACUGGGAUCAUGCAACCACCAAGCAAAACUCCUGAGUUAUAAGUGAAUAUUUGGCCUCUGACUCUGACCCUGCCAACUAUAAAAACUGUUCCCGCAACUAUGACUUGGUUAGGUAUAGCAUCCAUUAAACCUGAAGAAUCAUUUAGGUGAUGUGCAUGUAUUGUUACAGUUUUCUUCCUAGGUCACUCCUGUAACUCUGGACUAUCAGCCACUAAUAGUCCUCAUUCCUGUCUGGGAACAGCAUUCAAUUACUCCACUCAGCCCAUCUUCAAAGGACAGCUUUCUACAGCUACUGCCAGGGUCACUCUUUACUGUGGACAAUGCUAAAGAAGAGAACAUUGCCAUCACCUAAGAUCAACAACUGUUAAACCAGUAGUAUCCAUUCUUUACCAAUGGUGCCUGGCACUGCUUUGCCAGCAUCUCCAACCACCUGUUUUUCAUUUUCUUCUCUUUCCUUUCUUCUUCUUCCCCUUCAGUUGUCAACUGUGCUCCUCCAUAGGAGAAUAUCCCCUCUGGUCCACAUGUUGCUCAGAGAGACAUGCCCUCCAUGCAUUUAGACUAUAUUGGCCCAUUCCAGAUUUAUCUGGGAAGGACUGGAGGAGAAAUAUAAAUAGGAAAUUUAAUUAAGCAGCUUCUCACUUGUAUUAAUAAUCCCUCUAAUUUUAUGUCUUGCAAUUUGUGUAAUUUGCCAGGCAAAAGUCUGUAUAUGUAAUCAGAUUAAGAAUUUAGCCCCAGACCUACAUGAACUGAUGCAGAACAAAAUAAACAGAACCAAGGGAACAUUGUACACAGUAACAGCAAUAUUGCACAAUGAUCAACUGUGAAAGACUUAGUUAUUCUCAGCAAUACAACCAUCCAGGAUAAUUCUGAAGGAUUUAUGAAAAAGAAGGCUAUCUAUCAUCAGAGAUCAGAAUGCCUAUCAAAGAAUACUAUUUUUCACUUAAUUUUAUUUGUGGUUUUUAGUUUGGGUUUUUAUAUGAGUAUUCUCUUACAAUAAUGACCAAUAUGGACAUAUGUUUUGCAUGAUAAGGCAUGUAUAACAGAUCAAAUUGCUUACCACUUCUAGGAGGGUGGAAGGAAGGGAGAGGAGGAGACAAUUUGGAUCUUAUAAUAUUGGAAAGCAUAUUUUGAAAAUUGUUGUUACAUGUAAUUUUGGAAAAUAAAAUAUUUUUAAAGUAAUGUAAUCCCAAGGCAGUACCUGAGUACUAUCAGUUUGUAUGUGUAUUACUAUAUUAAUCAGAAAUGUAUUGCUAUAUUCAUCCUAUUAAAUUGAUUCAUGUAAGAGAGCUGACAGACCAGAAGUUCCUGAAGACCAUGCAAGAUGGGAGGAAAUCUGAGGGGAUUGGGGAUUUCCCAAAAAUGGUGUUUGGGUUGUAUUAUAUCAAGAAUGACCCCUGUAAAUCUUCCUUCUCACUUUGGAAAUUUCUUUUUUCCUUUAAAAAUCUGUCAGUGAUGAUGAUCAAGGUCUCAGACUUUACUUAGGAUAUUAGUAGCCUCUGACUUAUUUACCUUACUCAAAGAGUAUUUUGGCCAGUCUUUUUCCUUCAAUUAGGUAAAUUAAUUUGGAUAGGAUUGUGAUUUCAAUGAUAUUGGCUCAGCCUACACUGAUUUAUAUUUUCUACUUGCUUAGGUCUGACUUCAUCUGUGUGAAAAGUGUUUUGUAACUGUGUUCAUAUCAUUUCUGGAGGGGCUUUGGGCCUGAAUUCAUAUCUAUCCCUUCAAAAUCCUGUGGCCAUGGGAUUAAAGAUGGAUCAUUUCUGGUCUCUUCUAUGAAUUGGUUCCUCUCUCUCUCUCGGCCAAUUUCUGUGGAUUCGACCUACUGACUCGCCAAAUGAAAUAGAGAAGAAAUCCAACUGCUCCCAGAAACUGUGUGAUCAAGUUCUCAGCUCCUGAGAACUCUGGAAUGUUGGCCUGCAGGAUCUCCUGCUUUCAGUUUGCUCCUGCUAAAAUAUCUUACAACAAUGCUUAACAGGUAUAUCUCAUUUAAUUCUUUCCCUUCCUGUGUUCUUUUACAAGUCUAUAUUUAUGCCUUGUGGGGAAUAGUAACUGCCAAAAUAACAACUGAUGUUCAUAGAUCAUAGUUACUCAGCCCACUGGACUCUCUACCAAAUAUAUCCACCCAAAGGCUUGUUAGAUCUGUUUGUGAUUUCAGAAUUGUUUAGAGAUUCAUUAGUAAAUAUGUGUGGCUUUUGAUCCACAGCCCUCCAAAGAUUUUGAGCUAUAAGAUUGGCCAGUAUAACAUGUAGGUUCUCUCUUUGGUUAUUAAUGUCACCUGAACUUAUGACAGGAAAUUGCUAAGAUACAUUUGGCCCAUAUUUGAGUUUUCUUAAUAUGUGGAUAAAAAGUAGGUCCCAUCUCAUAUUAGUACAAUGACUUGUACCAAUACAAACAAUUGAGAAAGCUCAUGAAAAUGUACUCUGGUACAAUUUUCAUUUUCUCCAUAGAAAAGGCAAAUGACAAAAAGGAGGCACAAAAUCUAUACACAGAUAGAAAAAAACUUACAAAAUAAUCAACUGAUCAGCUUCCCUUGGAAAUGAAUUGAACUUGGGACUAGCGAUAGUUUAUUGCCUCUGGGAAGGUGGAAGGGUGGGAGGUAGAGAGAAACUGUGUUAGAAAACAAAUACCAAAAAUUAUUUCACAUUUAAUUGGUAAAAAAUAAAACAUUACUGAAGGAGGGGAAAAAGGGAGUGAGAGAGGGAACAUGAGUUUGGGAAAAGCCUUUAACAUUCUGGUGAGUGUCUAUUUACCAGAGUAAUUACACUGUGUGCCCCAAGAUUCAAGAGUUCCACCCUGUGGUUUAGAUAACUUUUGGAAGGUAAAUGUAUUUUUAGUGCUAUGGAACAAGCAAUCCUCCUUCCAUUCAUUGGACUUACACUGUAACUCAUUACAGCAGAGGUAGUGAGGUUGUUAUGAUUAAAAUUAUCUCAAGAGACUGAUUUUGGGGUAAGAAUAUCAGUUCAUUGAUUAGGUAGGUGAGCAUGGUAACCAAUAUAGUGACACAAAUCAGUGACCCUCUUGAAUGACUGGAGACCCUGAAUUUUGAUCAGAAAGCUCAAUAAAUAGAAAUUUAUGAGUCUGUUGUGGGGGGCUUGAGGAGAACCUCCUGGGUUUAGGAAGGCUACUCUUUACAAGAAUACAAGACUCCAAAACUUAGCUUAGAAAUAAAAAUAUAAAUUUAGUAAUUUAGAAUUCAUGUUGAAUUUGACUGGGAGGACAGCAUAGAUGGAAAUCUGUCUCCCAGAGGACAUCACUUCUUUCUCUUUACAACAGGUGAUAGGUGAUUUGGAGAGGUAUGCACUCAGGCACAAGGUGGGGGAGGGGGGGCUGGUCAUCCGACCAGGGUUAGAUCCCUUCCCCUUACCAAAAUUAAUCCUUCUUCUAUAUGUACUUUUAUCCUAUACACUCCCACUUUCUCCAACAGAAUGUCCCUAUUACAAUCCUUUAUUUUUCUUUUCUUCAACUACUGACUACAUACUAGCUACUUCCCUGCUUCCUACACAAAUGCCCAUGUCUCUCUUAUCCUCAUCAAUCUUACCAUCUUAACUAGCUAUCAUCCUAUAUCUCUCCUUCCUCUCAUGGCUAAAUUUCCUUGGGAAAUCCAUGGUUUAGCGACUCCUCCAUGGGAGUUCUACAACAUUUAUCUGUGGUUAAUAACCUGAGGUGGAAAGAGGAGGUUGAGGAAAUGGGAGAAUAAUAAUGACUCAAAGACAAAAGUAGAAACACAUGGAGAGUAACUUGAACUCCGAACUCCGAGGAAAUAAGAGGAUUAAGAGAAUAGGUGGGGAGUAUCAACCCCUUGAUACUCCUAUAGACAAGAGAGUCUGCUUUGGGGGCAACAGCGUCCCUAGGAAAAAUGGGGAGUCUCAACUCCUUGGUGCCUCCUAUAGCAAUAGGAGGCACUGGGGGCAACUGCAGUGCUAGAAAAAGUGUGUGGGGGGUCUCAACUCCUUGGUUCUCCUAUAGACAAUAGAGUCUAAGCCUUAGUAGGAGGCACUGGGGGCAUCCCCGUUGCUAGGAAAGAGAUACAGUGAAGCAAGAGAGGUAGGAGGAGAGGAGGGAACAGAGGGCAAGAGAGCUAGAGAGAGUCAGACUGAGAGAGUGGAGGAGGAAACAGAGGAACAGAGGAACAGGGGAACAGGGGAACAGAGGAACAGAGAGAGUUCGCGCUUUUUGCCCAGAAUUUAUUGAAGGUCUUAGGAAUGUGGAUCAACGAAUACAUAACAUGACAUAGGUUUUAACAUUGGUCGAAUUGACAAAGACACGAUCAAAGAGGUGGGGAUUAAUCCAACCGCUCGGUUUGCAAAUGAGUGUAGUCUGAGCGGAGGCAGCAUGGCCCUGAGGCAGCAUGGCUGCCAAGACCCAGCUCAUGAAUUUGCCCUUCCUUUGCUAGUGCUUCCACCUGUCCCUUACCAUACAAUGACCAUCAAGAGGUCUGACCAUGUGCCUGGUAAUGCAAUAUCAAUACAUCAAUCAUACUUCCCAGAUGCUAACAUGACUCUAUGCUACACAUGAUAUCCUCCAAGAUUCUGUCCUAAGUCUGUUCUCUUCUCACUUAAUGGUCUCAUCAACUCCCCAGAAUUCAAUUUUCAUCUCUAUGAAGAUGAUUCCCAAAUCUAUAAAUACAUUUGAACACUUUCCUUCCUCUCCUCUCUCUUCUAAACAAUCUGGAGGGCAAUUUGGAACUAUGCCCAAAAGGUGCUAAAAAACUGUCUGCCCUUUGACCCAGCCAUAGCACUGUUGGGUUUGUACCCCAAAGAGAUAAUAAGGAAAAAGACAUGUAGAAGAAUAUUCAUAGCUGCGCUCUUUGUGGUGGCAAAAAAUUGGAAAACGAGGGGAUGCCCAUCAAUUGGGGAAUAGCUGAACAAAUUGUGGUAUAUGUUGGUGAUGGAAUACUAUUGUGCUAAAAGGAAUAAUAAAGUGGGGGAAUUCCAUGGAGACUGGAACAACCUCCAGGAAGUGAUGCAGAGCGAAAGGAGCAGAACCAGGAAAACAUUGUACACAGAGACUGAUACAUUGUGGUACAAUCGAAGGUGAUGGACUUCUCCAUUAGUGGCAAUGCAUUGUCCCUGAACAAUCUGCAGGGAUCUAAAAAAUACUAUCCACAAGCAGAGGAUCAACUGUGGGAGUAAAAACACCAAUGAAAAGCAACUGCUUGACUACAGGGGUUGAGGGGAUAUGACUGAGGAGAGACUCUAAAUGAACACUCUAAUGCAAAUACCAACAACAGGGAAAUGGGUUUGAGUCAAGAACACAUGUGAUAACCGUGCGUCGGCUAUGGGAGAGGGAAAGGUGGGGGUGGGGGGAGGAAAAGAAAAUGAUCUUUGUUUC